CGACCUCAGAGUAGGUGAGAUUACCCGCUGAAUUUAAGCAUAUUAUUAAGCGGAGGAAAAGAAACUAACUAGGAUUCCCUUAGUAGCGGCGAGCGAACAGGGAUAAGCCCAGCACUGAACCCCGUGGCUGAUAAACAGACACUUGGGGAAUGUAGUGUUUAGGAAGAUUCAAUAUAAACCUAUUGUUAUAUAAUACAUCCAAGUCCAUCUUGAAUGGGGCCAUAUACCCAUAGAGGGUGCCAGGCCCGUAGUGAUUAUUAUUGAUGAUAGGUGAAUCUUUCCUUAGAGUCGGGUUGCUUGAGAGUGCAGCUCUAAGUGGGUGGUAAACUCCAUCUAAGGCUAAAUAUUACCACGAGACCGAUAGCGAACAAGUACCGUGAGGGAAAGUUGAAAAGAACUUUGAAGAGAGAGUUAAAGAGUACGUGAAACCGUUCAGGGGUAAACCUGCGAAACUCGAAUGAACGAACGGAGAGAUUCAUCGUCAUUCCUCGGCGUACGUGCGUCUCGCUCGAUGUGAUCGGCCCUCGGGUCGUGUCGCACGGCGUGCGUCCGUCGACGUCCGGGGACGGCGUGCACUUCUCUCUUAGUAAUGCAUCGCGAACCGUUCGAUGUCGGUCUAAGCGCCGUUCGGGAGCCCAGCUGUCCCCCUUCGGGGGUUGGCGACUGGACCGUGACGGACGCCGACCGGACGUCGGACGGUAUAUAUUAUGAAUCGCGCACGCGUCUUCGGCGCGUCCGGCCCGACGCAAGGCGUACGUCGUCAUCGAGGUCCUGGCUAUGUGCGGACUUGGGUGCGGCGCGCCUGAUCGUCGCAGACGUGCUGUCUCGGACUGUGCGCGUCUCUGUCUGCGAUGAUACAGUGUCGGGCACUCGCAGGACCCGUCUUGAAACACGGACCAAGGAGUCUAGCAUGUGUGCGAGUCAUUGAGAUACAUAUAAACUGAAAGGCGUAACGAAAGUGAAGGCGUGCGCUUGUCGCGCGCUCAGGGAGGAUGGAGCUUCGAUCUAGGUCGUACUCUCGCACUCCCGAGGCGUCUCGUUUCCAAUCUGUGAAUGUAGGCGCGCUCUGAGCAUAAAUGCUGGGACCCGAAAGAUGGUGAACUAUGCCUGGUCAGGUCGAAGUCAGGUGAAACCCUGAUGGAGGACCGUAGCGAUUCUGACGUGCAAAUCGAUCGUCGGAACUGGGUAUAGGGGCGAAAGACUAAUCGAACCAUCUAGUAGCUGGUUCCGUCCGAAGUUUCCCUCAGGAUAGCUGGCGUCGAUUUGAACAGUCUCAUCCGGUAAAGCGAAUGAUUAGAGGCAUUGGGGCCGAAACGACCUCAACCUAUUCUCAAACUUUAAAUGGGUGAGUACUCCGGCUUACUCGAACGAUGAAGCCGGAGAUCUGAUGACGGUGCCAAGUGGGCCAAUUUUGGUAAGCAGAACUGGCGCUGUGGGAUGAACCAAACGUAGUGUUAAGGCGCCUAAAAAACGCUCAUGGGACACCAUGAAAGGCGUUGGUCGCUCAUGACAGCAGGACGGUGGCCAUGGAAGUCGGAAUCCGCUAAGGAGUGUGUAACGACUCACCUGCCGAAGCAACCAGCCCUGAAAAUGGAUGGCGCUUAAGCGUUUUGCCUAUACACUACCGUUACGGGCAUGUGAGACGUCGUUUACGCGAUGUCAUUAUGCUGUAACGAGUAGGACGUGCGCGGCGGAGAGCGCAGAAGGGUCUGGGCGUGAGCCCGCUUGGAGCCUCCGUCGGUGCAGAUCUUGGUGGUAGUAGCAAAUACUCCAGCGAGGCCCUGGAGGACUGACGUGGAGAAGGGUUUCGCGUGAACAGUAGUUGCUCGCGAGUCAGUCGAUCCUAAGCUCAAGGAGAGAUCUUAUGUCGAUGUGGCGUGUUUAUUAUAUAUUAUAAAUAACGCCCUUUGAGCGAAAGGGAAUCCGGUUCCUAUUCCGGAACCCGGCAGCGGAACCGUUUCAAUAAUCGUUCCCUCGUUUCAAAGCGAGUGUUCGACGGGGUAACCCAAAGUGGCCUGAAGACGCCGCCGAGAGGUCCGGGAAGAGUUUUCUUUUCUGCCUGAGCGUUCGAGUUCCAUGGAAUCCUAUAGAAGGGAGAUAUGGUUCGGAACGCGAAGAGCACCGCAUUUGCGGCGGUGUCCGGAUACUCUCUGCGGACCUUGAAAAUUCAGGUGAGGGAUGUACGUGGAGAUGUCGCGCCGGUUCGUACCCAUAUCCGCAGCAGGUCUCCAAGGUGAAGAGCCUCUAGUCGAUAGAAUAAUGUAGGUAAGGGAAGUCGGCAAAUUGGAUCCGUAACUUCGGAAUAAGGAUUGGCUCUGAGGACCGGGGCGUGUCGGGUUUGGACGGGAAGCGGAUGCGGCCGGUGCCGGGCCUGGUCGAUGCUCUUGCGUCUCUCGAGGUGUGAGGGCUGAAUCCGGACCCGCGUUCCGGCCUUCCGCGGAUCUUCCUAGCCGUAAGGCCGUGUCGGUUUCGUCUCGUGCGCGAUCGGCGCGGUUCUGUACGACCGCCGUUCCCGGUCAGCUCAGAACUGGCCGGACCAGGGGAAUCCGACUGUCUAAUUAAAACAAGCUUGCGUGGCCCUCGC
rnacentral:ncRNA from 1 species